rnacentral:rRNA from 1 species
UACGGGGGGUGCGAGCGUUGUCCGGAAUCACUGGGCGUAAAGGGCGCGUAGGUGGUUUGAUAAGGGUGUGGUGAAAGUCCGGGGCUCAACUCCGGAUCUGCCGUGCCGACUGUCAAACUCGAGGGCUGUAGAGGCAGACGGAAUUCCGGGUGUAGCGGUGGAAUGCGUAGAGAUCCGGAGGAAGACCGGUGGCGAAGGCGGGUCUCUGGGCCGUAACUGACGCUGAGGAGCGAAAGCAUGGGGAGCGAACAGG